AGUCAGGCAAGAUGGAGCCCUCCCAGCUCACAGCUAGAGGCUUUAAGCAACCAGAAGGGGAUGCUGAAGAGUGACACGAAGAAAGAAUGCCUGGAGGGGAUGAGUGAAACCAUAUGAUGAUCGUCCUUCUCCAAUUAACUUACUGCACUCAGCAUAAUACCCUACAGUUCCAUCCAUAUUGAAGCAAAUGGUCACAUAAAUGAUUUUACUUACCUCCCUUUGUAUAUCUGUAGAACUUGCCCUCCUUUGUAGAAAGAACAGAGUACUCCUGCACAUCACGAAACAAGAACCAACCCCUCUCACAAUCACUGAGCACUGAGUGAAACCAUAUGAUGAUUGUCCUUCUCCGAUUGACUUACUCACCAUAAUACCCUCCAGUUCUGUCCACGUGGAAGCAAAUGACCUUCUAAAAGGAAACCCUUAUCAAACAAGAGAAGACCCGAAAACAGAAACUCUGGGAAGUCCUGGGAUGACAACACCCACAGUCAUGGGAAGCUCUGAACUCAACCUGGAUUAUAAAGCAGGAGUCAUAAACCUAAUGCACACAGGAGCCAGGCAGAUAACAUAUAUGAAUGAAAUGGGACAAAUGGAAAUUGUAGCAAAUUGAAUUUAUUUAGGUUUUUUAAUUUUAAUUUCAGUAUACUUAAUGCACAGUGAUGUAUUAGUUUAAGGUAUACAAUAUAGUGAUUUAAAAAAUUCUAUAUAUUAUUUGGUGUUUAUCAUGAAAAGUGUACUCUCUAAUUCCCAUCAGCUAUUUAGCCAAUCUCCCCACCCACCUCCCCUCUGGUAACCAUCCGUUUUUUUCUCUACAGUUAAGAGUCUGUUUCUUGGUUAAUUUCUCUUUUUAUUCAUUUUUUUGUUUAUUAAAUUCCACGUUUGAGUGAAA